GGUUAAGAAGUUGGACCCCUGAUCAGAAGGUCAUGAGUUCAAAUCUCAGCACUGCCAAGCUACCACUGUUGGGCCCUUGAGCAAGGCCCUUAACCCUCAACUGCUCGGUUGUAUAAAUGAGAUAAAUGAAUGUCGCUCUGGAUAAGGGCGUCUGAAUGCCAUAAAUGUAAUGUAAUGUUUACAUGGUAGUCUCUUAAUCAGAUUAUUGUUGUCCAUGUGAACAUACUGAAUGACUCUGAAGUGAAGCUGUUAAACUGAAAGUAUACUACAGUUCUGUCAGACCUUCUGGUCCAGAAGGUUAAACCAGACUGAUCAAAGUCCUGAUCAAGUGCUGGUUUCAUAUUUGAAAUUACACGCAGAUAACAUCAUUACUUCUCUUCUGCUAUCUUUGAUGAUUGGGUGGAUUUAUAUUCUUCAAGAGCUAAGAUUUUGGCAACUCCCUCCUCUUAAUGGAAAGUCCCUGUCCGUGAUCCUCUGAAGUCUUGCUUUAGAUAAAUAAAUGUGAUGAAUAAAUGUGAUGAAUAAUCUUCUCCCCCACUUGUUUGUGUUCACAGGCUGACAUUAACACCUUCUUGUGGCGUGGGCAGCCAGAGGUUUGCAGUGAUGGUUAUUUCGCUUGUCAGUGUGAAUGUCCUCCGAGCCCUCGUGGCUUUAAUUAGACUGGUGGCAGAGUCAGACAAUGCCUCUAGAGAUCAGACAACCGAAAGAGCGCUCGGGGCCCGCUCGGCCCCCGCCGGUCCACUGGGUUUUCACAAACUAGACUAGACACUUCUGCUGAUGAAGUGGUAGAUACGGGUGUUAUGAUUUGAAACUGACAGUAUGACGACCCAAUCUGAAAGAUCAGUUAUCGUGGUAUUAAUCAACCGUAUAAAAACACAAACAAGCCAGUGGUGAAAACAUUUCGUAUGCACAUAUAAAAAAAAUUCAUAAAAAAAAAUGAAAGGAGACAAAAAAAUUAUUUCCACUGGAAGGGGGUGUGUUCACGAUGUACGCACCAAAUAUAAUUAUUCAUUAUGUAUACUACACGCACCUUAUUUUAAUGCAACGUUUGACCUUUCCGCACAGAAAUAAAAAAAGAUCGAUGCAUUUUAAUUGGUCUUUUGAAAAAGUCAGCAGUAAAGUAAAGUAACUGGCAGAUCAUACUCCCUGACUAAUGUACUUGGAACUUGAAAAGCUGAUAAUCUUGAUCUAAGCACACUCCAGCGUUUCUGCUCAGAAAUCACAGAUGUCCAGAGCAAGGUCGUAUUUGUAUGGCUAGUCUCUUUGUUCAUAAAAACUCCUUUUACGUGAGUAAAAUUGGGCUGAAAUGAGCAGAAUUACUAGACAAACCUAAACUUACAACAAAAAAAAGCUACAUUCAACCAUCCAUCCAAGGCGGAGGACGUCCGGGACGGGGUGCCGACCCAUCGCGGGACACAAUCGCACACCCGUUCACACACUACGGACAAUUUUGGAAAUGCCAAAUCAGCCUAUAUUGGUGGGAGGAAACCGGAGUACCCGAUGGAAACCCUCAAACUCUCAAACUGCGUACGCAGAGGACGGAGGCUGGAUUCGAACCCCCAACCCUGGAGGUGCGAGGCAAACGUGCUAACAACUAAUCCAUCAUGCGCCCAACAAAAGCUACAUAUCAAAGUAAAAAACAGUGCAGACGCCGCCAUAUUGUCCCGUGUCAUCAGGUGUGCUUAUGUCACAGAAAACCUCCGACACGGAAAAGUGCAAUGGAAUAGUCAUAAACCUCCCAGGUGGGAACUCUGGCAACAUCCAUCUUGUCCGGGUUCUGAGUUUUGCAUACCACCGUAACACUAAGGUAAAGUAUCGAAUAAAAAGUGUGGGACUAUCGGAGUAGACAUGCACACACUGCGGAGAAGGACCAGGAUCCGUAAAGGCUUUCGAAAAGUUGUGGAUACGUCCCGCAGAGUCAGGCUCGCUCAGUGCGUCCACAAAACAUCAGAGCGUCUUGGUGAAAAGGAGGGGAAUCAGAACACAAGCCAGAUAAAGUGGUUCGGUUCAUUAGUUAAGAGGAAUUCGACAUCACCCCUUGGCCUCCCCCGCAGCAUUACUCGGGUCUAACGUUUAACUGCCCUACAUGGUGUUCAGCGAGUCAUUCACAGAGUAAAUACCACUGACACCAACGUGCAUGUAUGUUGCACGACAGAUCUCCAAAACAAAAUGACUCGCAACUAAUUUAACGUUUGAAACCAAACUAACACGGUGUGAACUUUGACAGCUGUAUUUUUUUUUUAAUCCACACGAGAAACCCACAUGACCUUACCAAACGUCUAUCAGCUAAGCUCUUUAUGAAAUCGUCUCACGCUCAUUCGGGGCUCCAAAUCAAACUCGCACACCAAUAAGACAUGCCUCAACACCGUUCCAAAUCAACACCCAUUAAACACCUGAAUGCUGAACUCAAACCCGAAAGAUAACACUGCUGUGCUACUUAUAGCAGGCUCUGUAUUGCUUCAUCCAUAGAUAACGCAGUACAGGUUGGGUGUAGUCAAUAUUUACCCACAGACUGAGUCAACAAGAUUGUGAUAAAGUCCCUGAAGGUUGGCCUGAAAGAAACAAGCUCCCAUUGACGGUGUUUAUGUGAAACGGGAUUACAAACACCACCAAAAGCACCAUAUGUUCACGGGACCUCCAAAUGGCCACGCUGGCCCGACUACAGCACUGAGGACGCAGGUUUGAAGAUUAACUCGUGAACGGAAGAAACUUGUUUACACCGAAGCCUGGGAGAGCCAGCUGGAGUUGAAGUUUAACCUCUAGCAAGUGAGAACCUGUCACUCGAGCAGAGUAAAGCAAAACGUGUGUGACCGGGAAAGUUAGGCUGCUUUCACAACUGCCCGUGUCCUCUCAAACUCCAGCACACAUUUUACAUGCAACCCUAUAGGAAGUGCUUUGAAUAAUAAAGCACUGCCUUCAGUGGGGGUUGGGUUUCUGUGGAUAAGAGGAGGAAAAAAGUUCAACUUUUCAGGAAAGUCCAGAGCGACGUUAAGCAAUUUUCAACCCCGUGACCAAUCGGGUCUCACUUUGGAGGUCGAGUGAGAAAAAUAAACAGAGGGCAGAGCAGAGGUCAAAAAGACUGGACGUUACUGAUAUCCCUUCGUCGAAACUUAACUCGAAAUGCCAACUUGUCCAUAAGGUUGUGACAUGUGACAUCUCAUUGCAUAACACUUCAAUUCAAUUUGAUCUGUGUAGCGCUUGAGAGGUUCCCUUGAGAGGAACCGGACUCAGAAGGGAACCCGUCCUCAUCUGGGUCACGACGGGUAGUGUGAAAGUAACACCAAGUCAAACAAGCGGUUCUUUUGAUUUUCUGCCUCCGAAGCCACAACCAAGGCAAACAACCUCAUCAUCACCAGACUUACAUCAAUCUUCAAUCAUCGGCAGUACUGACAACAAAUCGAAUCUAGAGAGCAAGCUAGACCAGUUAGAUAGCCAAUAUUAGGUAAGAGCAUUGCUAUGGUUACAGUGUGCAUACUGCAUUCUGUUUUUCCAAGUGUGAAGGCACAUUAAAAAGUUUUGUGGUUCAACUCUUAACCAUCGUGGUUCCUUAAAAAGCCUGGAUAUGCAUUUAAAAUUUUCUGAAGGCAGGGGACGGGUGGACAGAUCAGUAGCCCGGGGACAAGCUAAUCUUGAGACAAGCUACUCAACACCGAGCGAAUUGACCUUACUGUUAAAUAUUCCGGGAGAAAAUAAAAGACGCUAGUCACACUGUAAUAUUUCUACUCGAGAUGAGGGAAGAUAACGGAACAGCUCAGAGCUACAAUUUUCGUCCACGGCGUGCUGACAUUUCGCAAAGGAGGGAUAAUGACUACGGCGAAGAACUCGUCCUUUCUUUGGGAGUUCAUCUACUCGAUCAUUUCCCUUAGUCUGCGUUAAUGCACUUAAACAGCUAAGUAACUUAUCGCGUUACGGUACUGCAUUAGCGCCCACUACUGACCGACCAAAAUAAACAAACAAAUAAAUAAAUAACAAACGGGACUUUGAAGCAUGCUGGAGCGUCCCCUUGCCUGGUGGUCGAGCUACUGAACGUAUCGUCAAACCCGACCUGAAAUCUGAGGACUGAGGGGGAUGGAUCACCCACGCAUCACCGUACAGCUUAAUAAAGAAAAAGUUCACCAGUUUAGCAUCAGCCCGAUCAGGUUAGCUGAAGCUUCACUGCACUGCACAGAGAGGGACAGGAUUCUCUUGCAGUCUUCAUUCACGUUUUCACCUCGGCCAUGAGGUUUCAGGAGACACCUCCGUAAUGCUGACCCCCCCCCCACAAUAAAAAGAAUGAGGUCCUGACGCAGUAUACAUAUAGCUUGCCUUACAUGAUUGUAAAUUAGGAUGUAAAAACACACCAUGCAAAAAUACCAAGCAACUCCCACAGGCUGACACCGCAACGACAGAGUGUUAAUUAGCGCUCUGCAGAGCGGUCAUCAACCGAGAAGAGAAGACAGGCUUCAGCUCACAGCCAUGAUAUUAGCUGGGCUCUCGUCCCCGUCUCAGGAGAUUAUCGUGUCCAAGGAUGACGCAAUGCAAAAGUAACAGAGUCUCGGAUGAACUCUGAAGUGUUGAGCAAAGAAACUAAACGAGAAGUCGGAGCAUAAACAAACGGCUCCCUUUUGUUUCCUGGUUUUUCUUCUCAACCAACUGCGGCCAGGUCACGUCCCGCCCUUCUUUUCAGACCUCUCAUCCGUCAGAGAUUAACCGAGGCAGGAAGACGAAGGAAUGUGACGCCAAACACAAACACAUCGCUCACCAGGUGUCAACAAAGGCUCCUCGCUCAGCAUUUCCUCCCGGAGUUAGGCGAGGGCUCAGAAGAUAAGAAGCGACUAAAGAGGGAGAAAUGUCGAGCUGUGAAGCGUCUUUUUGCUGAGGCUCGACACUUCUGCGGCUUCUGCUUUAGAAGACGGUGCACGGCGUGGCACUUUCAGGAUGACUCGAGGACAAGCGUGUGGAUAUGACACAAGAUGACAUCAAACUCAGGACGGUCAACCGCCAAAUAUAGCAACUCUGAGAUAAUCGAGCAUGAAUUCAUCAUGACUGGGCAAAUCAGCACACCGGAGCUUUUAUUUCCCAGAUUGGCUAAUUAGUAAAUUUACGAUUUGUUCACACCUGCUUAGCAUAAAAUCGUACAUCCAUGCUCAAGCCACACUGACCCUCAGUAAGUCUAGACCGUAUUUUUGGACAUUUUCGAUACCCGGGUCAAUAAACAUGGCCCCGUUUCAAAUAGAUAUGCAGUGUUUUUAACUGAUCUCUUUCCUCAUAAUGCUAAUCUACUGGAGGCUAGAGGAGACAAUCGAGUGAACCUUGCUUAUCUAUGGAAGAUUAGCAGGACAUCCAACACCUCUCUCAAAGUGCUCUUCUAUCAUAACCCACUAUCAGGCUCUCGGCAGGCUGUGACAUACACAAACCAGAUAUCAAAUCCCAACCGGCAAAAAGCGACAUGGACUACGUGGUCCAGAAGAAUAGAUAUCAGCGAGUCGCAUAAUUCGGCCCUUUUUAAAGAGCUGAGCAGAUUCGGGAGGAGACGUGCGUUAUGCCACAGCCAGCUAGUGUGGGCUGCGAAUGGAAAAGUGGUGGUUGUAAAAAAAAAACUAAAAAAAAAAAAAAAAUUUGUAAAAAAUGUCCGUGCUGCGUCUCCAUUAAGCCCGAGAGCAAAGAUUUUACAAGGAGUUUGGAAAAAUUUAUUCAAUACAUCAAACUCGUGACGUGCAGCUUUGGACGGUUUAACUCAUGAGGAGUGCAUGUAAAAUAAAUAAAUAAAUAAACAAACGUUUGGUGGUGCUCUUAUUUCCCCACAGACUGUUGGGAAGAAAAGGGUGUCAGAGUUCAUCAGUAGGAUUAUUGUGCAUUCAAAACAACGCGAGACGCGGCCGGCCCCAGAGACGGCGCGCGACGCGGCCGGCCCCAGAGACGGCGCGCGACGCGGCCAGCCCCGAAAUCGCCGCACUAUAUAAUGAAUGAAGCAUAGUUUGGGACACGGUAUAGUACAGGAAGGGGUAACAGGAAGGUCAAUCAUCAGGCUUGAUGAUUAGACAGAUUAGAAAGCAUUGAGUCAUUAUUUACAGGAACAGGAGAAAGAAUCAGAUGUAUUAUCAAGGCUCUUUGUGGUUGCUCACUGCUGAUUUGAUCAACUCCAGCUCCACAUCACAAUUGGUAAUGGAUUCCAGCUGCAUGUCGUCACCUCCGUCUCACUCACCUGCCCUGCAUUAUUAAAGGCUUUUUAAGGCGUGACGGCACAGUGGGAGUAGCGCAGACAAGGAAGAGGGUCUUGUUUCUAAGGAAAUAUUUACCAAAAAAAAAAGAAAGCACGAUCCCCUAUGAGGCACCGAUGAUGUCAAAACGCUUCGAGUGAGCGCAGCACGAUGAUUUCUUCGACGACGCCCCACCGAGACACAAACAAACCGUUCCUCAAAGGGCUUUAAAGUUUACCACGACGCUCGUUUUUUUUCUUUUAAAAACACAUUCCUCGCCACUCCCGUUCAUCGUUUACACGAUCUGCUGAUGCGAACUGGGCGACGUGCCAAAAACUGGUUCGACAGCCACGCCGUCAUUCUUCAUGUGGCGUGUUAACAGAUUAAACAGCUUCCUCGUUUCGAGCAGAGCGGGACGAUCGAGCCAGCUAGAGCGGAAGUAAAUCAUUUAUCCCCACCUGAUCAGCAAAGUCGCAAAUCAACUCAGGGCGAUCAUGUCACCGGGGGUGGCGACGUGAUCGACGGGGGGAACCGAGGCUGCGACACCGACAGCGUUGUUAUCGUAAAGUCGCCAGUAGCGCUACAACCGCGACCUUAGGAAGAGUAAUCUACCGAGUCCUGAAUCUCCACUCAAGGCCGGUGCGUGAUGAAGCAGAAGAAGGAAACUGCAGGAGGAAGGCGUAAAACAUAAGCCUCUACUUUCGCAAGUUCGGAGCCAGUCCUUAAAUAGCCUACAUUUUGAUCCCAUGUUAAAUAUCAGUCUCGCCAGAUCUCACCGAUCUCUGAAGCAUUAAAUCAGUACCGACGUGUUUUCCAGUCGGACCUACCGACGUAUUUUCAUUUCGCUGCAUGACGCAGAUCGGGCACGUGAACACAGGACACGACUUGCCUGAAAGAACGCUCCAUCAGACACACCAGGAUUCUCAUACCUCGGCAAAACAACCCCUCGGUUAACCUGAGGACGUCCGUGGCGCGGCGGAAGAGUUUUAAAAUCACUUUGGAAGAAAUCUCCACGCUAGAAAUCAACAUAUUAUUGCACAGUUAUCCCUUUAAGUAUAAACCUCAAGCUACACUGCAUACCUUUAUUCUUUCUUUCGCUGAGCUGCUAAGAGUCGCCCUGAUAAUGCUGCAAUAAUAAUAAUAAUAAUAAUAAUAAUAAUACAUAAAUAUUAUUCUAAUGGGUUUUAAUUCUGAAGGCAGGAAGUUUUUGAGUGAUGUGAGGACUCAGCAAAAAAAAAAAAAAAAAAAUU
ensembl:lncRNA